CUCACUUUAGCUCAGCUGGAAGAGCAUGAGACUGUAAUGGUUACGCUGACUAAGCAAAUCUCAGGGUCGCCUGUUCGAGCCAGGCAAGUGAGA
rnacentral:tRNA from 1 species